GAAUGGGGAAACCCAGUGUGAUUCGUCACACUAUCAUUAACUGAAUCCAUAGGUUAAUGAGGCGAACCGGGGGAACUGAAACAUCUAAGUACCCCGAGGAAAAGAAAUCAACCGAGAUUCCCCCAGUAGCGGCGAGCGAACGGGGAGCAGCCCAGAGCCUGAAUCAGUGUGUGUGUUAGUGGAAGCGUCUGGAAAGGCGCGCGAUACAGGGUGACAGCCCCGUACACAAAAAUGCACAUAUUGUGAGCUCGAUGAGUAGGGCGGGACACG
rnacentral:rRNA from 1 species